UACGUAGGUGGCAAGCGUUGUCCGGAUUUACUGGGCGUAAAGCGUGCGCAGGCGGUUUGUUAAGUCUGCUGUGAAAUCCCCGAGCUCAACUUGGGAAUUGCAGUGGAUACUGGCAAGCUGGAGUACGGUAGAGGAAGGUGGAAUUCCCGGUGUAGCAGUGAAAUGCGUAGAGAUCGGGAGGAACACCAGUGGCGAAGGCGGCCUUCUGGACCAGUACUGACGCUCAUGCACGAAAGCGUGGGGAGCAAACAGG
rnacentral:rRNA from 1 species